rnacentral:pre_miRNA from 1 species
AGUGAGAUAGCUGGGUCAAAUGGUGGUUUUAUUUCAAGUUUUCUAAGGAAUUUCCAUAUUGCUUUCCAGAUUGGUUGCACCAAUUUGCAGUGUCAUCAGCAAU